rnacentral:rRNA from 1 species
AUUGAACGCUGGCGGCAGGCCUAACACAUGCAAGUCGAGCGGAUGAAGGGAGCUUGCUCCUGGAUUCAGCGGCGGACGGGUGAGUAAUGCCUAGGAAUCUGCCUGGUAGUGGGGGAUAACGUCCGGAAACGGGCGCUAAUACCGCAUACGUCCUGAGGGAGAAAGUGGGGGAUCUUCGGACCUCACGCUAUCACAUGACCCUAGGUCGGAUUAGCUAGUUGGUGGGGUAAAGGCCUACCAAGGCGACGAUCCGUAACUGGUCUGAGAGGAUGAUCAGUCACACUGGAACUGAGACACGGUCCAGACUCCUACGGGAGGCAGCAGUGGGGAAUAUUGGACAAUGGGCGAAAGCCUGAUCCAGCCAUGCCGCGUGUGUGAAGAAGGUCUUCGGAUUGUAAAGCACUUUAAGUUGGGAGGAAGGGCAGUAAGUUAAUACCUUGCUGUUUUGACGUUACCAACAGAAUAAGCACCGGCUAACUUCGUG